rnacentral:misc_RNA from 1 species
GAAACGCGAAAGGUAAUGCGAAUUGCAGAAUCAGUGAGUCAUCGAAUUUUUGAACGCACAUUGCGCCUCUCGGUAUUCCGGGAGGCACGCCUGUUCGAGCGCCAUUACACACCCCAAGCAAGGCUUGAUGUUGGACGACGCCCCGGUGACACGGGGCCCGUCUGGAACGCGUGGGCGCCGCCGCCGGACCACGAGCGUAGCAAGACGAAAGUCAUUCGCUUCGUUGGUAACCGACGGUCGGUCUCGCCUUUAAACUUUAUUCAUACCAAAGUUUGGCCUCGGAUCAGGCGGGGAUACCCGCUGAACUUAA